rnacentral:misc_RNA from 1 species
AAAGUCGUAACAAGGUUUCCGUAGGUGAACCUGCGGAAGGAUCAUUAGUGAAUAUUAGGGUGCGCUUGCUGCUCUCGAGCACAAGUGGCCUGACCUCCACUAUCCAACACUGUGAACUUUACUUGUGAUGUCUGGGCUUGCCCAGCGUCGCAAUUUUACUAUUAACAUCAGUCAAAGAAUGUCAUAAAUCAUAAUAAAAAAAACUUUCAACAACGGAUCUCUUGGCUCUC